CACACAGUAAACGAUGAAUACUCGCUGUUUGCGAUAUACAGUAAGCGGCCAAGCGAAAGCAUUAAGUAUUCCACCUGGGGAGUACGCCGGCAACGGUGAAACUCAAAGGAAUUGACGGGGGCCCGCACAAGCGGUGGAUUAUGUGGUUUAAUUCGAAGCAACGCGAAGAACCUUACCAGGGCUUGACAUCCUACUAACGAAGUAGAGAUACAUCAGGUGCCCUUCGGGGAAAGUAGAGACAGGUGG
rnacentral:rRNA from 1 species